AACGAACGUUGGCGGCGCGCCUAACACAUGCAAGUCGCACGAGAAAGGGAGCAAUCCCCGGUACAGUGGCGCACGGGUGAGUAACACGUGGAUAAUCUUCCCUCGGGCGGGGGAGUAGCCUUCCGAAAGGAGGGCGUAAUACCGCAUAAGACCACGGCCAGUACGCUGGCUGAGGUCAAAGACAGGCCUCUUCAUGAAAGACUUGCACCUGAGGAUGAGUCCGCGGCCCANCAGCUAGUUGGUAGUGUUAAAGACUACCAAGGCUAAGACGGGUAGCUGGUCUGAGAGGAUGAUCAGCCACACUGGAACUGAGACACGGUCCAGACUCCUACGGGAAGGCAGCAGUGGGGAAUCUUGCGCAAUGGACGAAAGUCUGACGCAGCGACG
rnacentral:rRNA from 1 species